UAACAAAAGGCUGUAGGGAUGCCGGCAGUCGUAUCUACCUACUUUCUGGGGAAGAAAAUCUAAAAUGAAAAGACCCAACAAAAGACAAGAAGAUGGAAAGAGAUUGUUGUGAAGGAAAUGUCCUGGAUUUCUUUUUUUUUUAAUCUGUUACCCAGGAUCCCAGAACCUAUUUUACACAGAAUGUUUCUUGGAUACAGUGCUGCUAAUAACUCUAACUGCAAGUCAGUCUCCAGACCAGUGCCAAGGAGCCAAAGAGAAGAAAUGAGAAUAACCAAGGUAUGCUGUGUCCAAUUAAUUAACUAUUAGCAAACAAAGGACCAAACAAUGUGACUGUAAGCUUCAUGACAGCAGGGAGUUUGUAUAUCUUUUCACCUGUGUAUCGGCAGUACCUAGCACCAUACCUGGCACAUUGUAGAUAAUAUAUAUUUGUGGAAUAAAUGAAUGAAUGAACAAUUAAAAAAUACAUUUGACUGUUUCCUAGUUUGCAUUUUCUUGAGUGGCAGAGAGAGUAAUGGACUUUUAGUUAGUGCCCUUGGAAUGCCCGCAGGGACGUAUCUCCAGAAGGAACUCAUUCUCUUGCAUUGGAAG
rnacentral:lncRNA from 1 species